GAGGGGCGGGCGGGGCGCUCCCAGCAGGUUCGGGCGGAGAGGAAGCCGCUCGCUCGUUCACAGCUUGGAUGGCGCUCGGGCAGCCGCGCUACAGGAUCUCCUGGCGGGGGGCCCGGGCCUUGAGCGGGGCCUGCCCGUUGGGCACCGAGCCGUUCUGCCCCUGCGGCCGCGGGCCCUUGUCGCGGUCGGGCCACGUGAAGAUGGCGUCGUCGCUGUCCAGCUCGGACUCGGAGCGCAUGAGGCUGCUGCCGGGCGUCGGGCCCUUCUGCCUGCCGCCUGCGGGGAGACAGGAGAGGCCGGUCAGGGCCGGGCCGCGCGCCCCAGGGGUCCCGGCUGAGCUCGGACGGACAGCAGAGGCUCGCCCCAGGCCCCCGGGGCGAGGACGCACCUCCUCCGAGCGACCCGCCGGGCCGGAGCUCACCUACUCCCGGAGCUCACCUACUCCCACACAGGCGACCGACAGGGGAGGAGCUCGAACCCCCGGGCCAACACCCUCCACCUUGCCCCCCCCACGGAAUUCCCGCCCGAGCCCCGCAGGCGGAGCCGCCGCCACGUGGGGGCCAGGGGGAGGUGCAGGCCCCAGCCCCUGCUCCGCCCCCGCAGCUGCCCCCCCUUCCCAGGGCCCCUCUCGAGCCGCCCCCUCCGCAGGCCGCACUGCACCCCCGGGGCGCUGCCCAGCACGACCGCAAAGUGAAGGACGCGACGCGGUCCUCCCGACGGCUAGUCAUGUGUGAAGGCAAGAAGGGGGGGGCGGGGGGGGUGCAGCGGGUCGCCACCAAGGUCGGGAGGGUGGGUGCGGAGGUUCCGUUGCAGACGCCGGUGUAGACGCCCCAGGAUUUCUCGGGGUUCCCGGAAUGUGCCGCAGCAGGACGCUCAGCCGAUCAACGGGCAGGCCAAACGCCCCGGACACCGCCCCCCCCAGGCUCCCCGCGCCCCGUGUCCGGGCUGCACCUCCUCCUCCGCUGAGUCCAGAACCGGAGCGGGGCCUCCGCCGGGUCACACGCUCAACACCAGGCGCGAGGGACUCCACGGCGCCCGGAGCGGGCCCUGGGUGACCCGGCGCACCCGCGGCUUCUCCCCCGCAGCUCUGCUCGCAGGAGGACCCGUGGCGUGGGGUCGGGGCCCCGCCGCCUCCCGCAUCCCCUACAGCGCGAGCUUCCCGGGCUCGUCUCUCGCCCCCCGACGUUCUCCCUGGAAGGGACGGGAACCCCCAUUCUGCGGAGAGCAUCGUCGUAGCCGGGCCGUCCCGGCCAGCUCCCUUGGUCCUGCCAGGGGACCACUCCGUGCCCCGGGUCGGAGGUCAGCGGGCGCCUCUCCCGGCCACCGGCAGGACCAGGGCGAUCCUCCCCGCGGGCCCCCACUGGCCCCCACGCAUCACCUCCACCUUUCAAGCGAACGAGGUCACUGUUUCCCGAAGCCAGCACUUUCGAGGGGGCCCUUGUCACCGCCAGCAUCCUGAACUCCUUCGGCCGCUUUCAGAUUGUCACCUGGUCCUCCUCAGCCUUCCAGCCUCGCCCCCAAGCGCUGUCUCCCCCGAGCCUGCCGGGCCCUCCCCCGGGGCCUGGCCAACACGCCGGGUGGCGCCGUCUUCCCCGCGCAGGUUCCUGCCAGAAGCUCCUUGGCACCUGCUCCUGCCUGCCGACUCCCUCGCACGCGCUGGGGGGCGGGAGGGAGGUGAAGGGCGGGUCACGCACCCCCUUCCUCCUUGAGGAGCGCCUGUGGCUGCGCUGUCUUCCUGCGGGAGGGGCCGCAGCAGGGGCCGCUACCCCCACCCCCACCCCGGCUGCACCGGCCCCGCCCCAGAGGCCACCUUCCUUGCGUCCUGGGGUCCCUCCCGCCUUCCAGCAGCCCCGCCUCCAGGGCCUCCUCCUCUGCCUCGAGGGCUGACUGCUGCCUCCCGCCGGUGCGCUAGGUCCCGUCGGCCGCCCGGGCCCAGGGCCCCUCCGUCACCUGUACGGCCCUGAGUUGGAGCAGUGGCCCCGCGGCAGCGUCUGUUGGUCCCACGCGUGCCCGGCCUCGGCCACUUCACUGACCGGCGGGGAGAGAUGUGGAAGCGUGGUGACAGAGGGGGGAGCGUGACCCGAGCAGGUAGGGGAGGACAGCAAUUCGAGCUGCCGCAUCUGCCGAGGAGGGCGGCCCCAGGGAAGCAGACCUGAAACCCACCCACGUGCCUUUCAAGCCAACGAGGUCACUGUUUCCCGAAGCCGGCAGGCUGGCCAGACCCAGGGUCGCCCCAAGUCCUUGAACCCCCGCGGCUGCUCCGAGGAGGGUGGCCGUGCACGCUCUCCCCGAGGGCUGCGGGCUGCACUCCCAGCGUCGGUGGGAGCCUCGCGCUUCCCGGGCACAGGCUGCAGGACGUCCAGCAGGGAGGCACCGGACACCACCCUACACGGCCACCCUACACGGCCGGCCACUCUGGAGCCCACUGGCCAGCAGCCCCCCUGCCUGUCUCGGGGCCGCGGGGCCUCCAGGGAUGUCAGCAGCCCACACUGCCAUCCACCUCAUCGUCCGCCCAGAGGACAGACUGGCCAGGCCCAAAGGACCAGGGUGCCAGCCUGAGCACCAGGGGCAGCUGGAAAGGCCGGGAGCCAGGACGAACCGAGCGAACCAACGAGCAGACCCAGAGGGCCAGGAGAAGGUGGCAGCUGUGCCUGUUGUUCAACGGCCCCUCGGCAAUUCUGGGAAAGGCAGGAACCCGUGGCCACUGUACCCCGGGCUCAGCUGCCCGCGGUGACAAGGAAGCAGAGAUCCAUUAGAACGUAAAGCAACAGAUUACCGUCCAGGACAGGGUUCCGAGGGCGACGACAAUGACAAAGGAAGCAAUGAUAACGUACAACACGCUCCACUCUGCCGAAAGAAACCAAGUGGUGAGGGUGGCGAGCGGAGCGGCCAGGAGCGCGGCGUGGGCCGACCCAGCCUUGGCAGGCCUCUGCACCGGGCGGGACUCUCUCGUGAUCCUGCUAGUGUAGCCAAGUGCUCGUCUCUGUGUUCCCGAGAACAGGAGGGCUCUGAAUAUCAGAAAGUCGGCUUUUUGCUUCUGCAGCUCACUCUUGAGCAUCGCCGCCACCUCAUGGCCUUUGAAGAUCUGGUUGGGAGGCUCGUUUUGAACAAAAAAUACCAUCUUGGUGCUGCAGAGACAUGCGACAGUGACAAUGAGCUGGAGCCCUACCAGCAGCGGUUGCCACAUUCUCUGAAGGCACCUCCUGUUGUGCCAGAGCCCGUGCUAAGGACGGGGCCGUGCUCUCCCCGCAGGCCAGUGACAACGGUGUUCUCAGGGUCAUCGCCAUUCUACAGAGGACAGCACGGGCUCAGGGGGGUUAAGUAACUUGCCCAGGGUCACACAGUUAAUUACGGCAGAGCCAAAUCCCAGCCCCGACAGGUCCGACUCCAAAACCUAUGCUCUCAGAAAUGCUCUAAGCUGCCCCAGCUCACGAGAGGGGCCGUUCCAACCAGCACCCCAAGGUCAGGAAACCGGGACUUCGUUACAAGCACAUCUCUGCCGUCAGCCUCUGACAGCUAAGAGCGGUGUGGUGCCAUCGGGUGUGUGUCUAGGUCACCUGACAGCAACAAGGAGGACCUGACCCAGUGGGGUGGCUGGUGCGAGGUUACGCUGCCCCGUGUCCAGAUUCGCUCUGCUUUCUGUCCAUUUCUGUCCAAGGCAGACCAUGUCUGACCACACGUUUACGUGGGCACGGUCUGUUCUCUAUGCCUUGGCCCGCAUUUGGGGGAGCCCACUGGACUCCACAUCAGCCUCCCUGCCAGACCUCUGCCGUCAGUGGGUCACACGGGCUGUAGGUGUGUCCCAGACACGGCCCCGUUGGCACGCAGAGGAGCUAGCUGGGACCUAGAGGCGCUAGAUCAGCUGCUUCCAGGAUAAGCAGCCUCACCUGUUUAUCCCAAAGCGUUACCUCCUCCGUGUGGCACCACAGAAGGCUUACUAAAAGUUCACUGCACAGUGAGACCAACAGUGGGGGAUCACAAACCCAGAAUCAAGAAACAAACUUUGCAUUAAAGGUCUGUGGCCCAUUU